GCGCCGUUGGUCUAGUGGUAACAUACAACCUGGAUUUUAUAAUGCAUAAUUCUAGUCUUAAGGUUGAGUCCUGGGUUCGAAUCCCGGACGGCGCG